UAGAGAGAGAGACACAUACUAAAACAAAUACAAACGUGAACACCAGAUAUCAGCGCUACGACAUCACUAUUUCCGCCGGCCGAUGCUAGCGCCAGUGUCACAUCGGCGGUCAAGGGGUGUAGUCACGUCGCUCGCCUGGUGUGACAGAAACGCCGUUUUCUUUAUUUUAUUUUAUCGUUGUUACUGUUGUUAUUAGGAUUAUAUAUAUCAUCAUUCUCAUUGUUACUGUUGUGAGACUGAGGCAAGAAUGUCGGAUUCACAAACUCGACUUAAAAAGCGCCGACUUAAGGAGCUCUGAGCGAACGAAGCUACUCUCAAGGAUUAGUUUAUAUGCCUCAGGUUCUUUCAUUAUUAUUCCAGUCAUUUUCAUCAUUUCAUCUUCACUAUAAAAGCAUUUAAUCAUAACUUUGGCAUCACAGUACGUGUCUUCAUUACCGGUAUAUUCCUCACCUUCAUCAGUUCAGUAUCACUAUAAGCAACUAUAAUAGUGAAGUCACCAUCACUAUAAGUAAUCUCAGCAAAGCAGUCAGAAUCUUAAGAGCUCACCAUCAGUAUCGAUUUGUACAUCACAAAGACAUAAGUAGAAUUUUUUGUCAUCACAAGGGCACCAUAUCAUCACUAACAAUUCUUUAAUCAACACUAUCACCGUUAUUGUAAACUUGAUCAUCAUUACGGAACCACUUUUACCAUCAUAAAAAAGUGACGAACUUGAAAACCGAAACGCCAUUUUUGUUUAGCGUUUAUUAAAUCAAUCAAGACGGUUAAUCAAAGAGAUCGUUUGUUUGUUAUCUUCCGCAGUUUUUUUGUGUCUUUACUUGACUUUAUUGUGGUAUCCAUUUGCCUUAGUGUCUUAGGCGAUUAUAUUUUCUUGUGGGGUCUAUCUGUUUCUCUCUCUCUCUCUCUCUCUCUCUCUCUCUCUCU